rnacentral:rRNA from 1 species
AUACGGAGGGUGCAAGCGUUAUCCGGCAUCAUUGGGUUUAAAGGGUCCGCAGGCGGAUUAAUAAGUCAGUGGUGAAAUCCUCUCGCUCAACGAGAGCACUGCCAUUGAAACUGUUAGUCUUGAAUUCGGUCGAAGUAGGCGGAAUGUGUCAUGUAGAGGUGAAAUGCAUAGAUAUGACACAGAACACCGAUAGCGAAGGCAGCUUACGAGACCUGGAUUGACGCUCAUGGACGAAAGCGUGGGGAGCGAACAGGAUUAGAUACCCUAGUAGUCC